GGCGACGCUACCAAUCUGCGCUGGGAGUGCCCGAACGCGGGCGUGACCAGCAGCUCCUCUGGAGUCCACAGGUCAAACGGUUGCGGCCACCCCCGGGGUGGUUUUGAUAUGAUCGGCCCCAGCCGUCGUACCACGGCUGGCGAAGUUUGCGGAACCUGCGGAAGGAUCAUUA
rnacentral:rRNA from 1 species